CCCAGCCUAAGUGUAGCACUUGUAGGUGAUAUGCUGGUGGGCACGAGUAAUGCAUUUAUUUAUAGGCACAUAUUUGCUGGUCUUGAGAGUAGUAACUCUGUUAGAAAUUUGUUAGCUUUUUUUGGUUUGUUUUUAAAAUUUUUCCUUUUAGGUUUCCUUAUGCAGCACUUCCAUUCUGGCUGAAACCACGUUUUGAGAAUAAGAGGCCCUGUGUUGCUGUCUGGGCUCCGGUGGCCCUGGAUACCUGAAGGCAGAGGGCGACCCUUUGAUGUCUCAGGGCCAUAUAUCAGUUCCCUAACAGUGAAGCCCACAACAGGCAAGAAUUUCUGACAUGACAUGGGAAAAGCUGAAGAAGUCAGCUUCUUUUUGGGGUGUGUUUUCAUUUAGAAGUUGACUUGAGAUGGAUUAAUGGCAAAUCACAAUAAAUUAUUUAUCAGAUAAUAAAUGUGAUAAUUGUUCUUAUUUAUCAUCAGUAUAACUUGCCUUGUUCUCCUGUCAUGCUUUCAAUCAAACCUUCUCCAAAGAUUUGCUGGUUAAAAUAUACAGCCAAAAGGUCAUUCCAACAAUUCUUACUCAUAAUGGCACACUGAUUAUCUCCUAAUUGAAAAAUGUAAACUAGGGGCUCUGUAAGUAAUGUGAGUGACCCUUGCAUUUCUAACACAAUGAAGAGAGUCACUCUGUACCUCAUUCAUCCUGCCAUGGGAGACAGUACAAUUCUCAGUAAUUUUAAUGUUCUGCUGAAUUAAUUGGAAAUAACUUCUUUGUUUUCCAUGAAGAAGGAAAAAAAAAAACCCACCUGCCCAAAUUUGCUGAAAAAGUAGAGAUGUAAAAUACCAUUCACUAUCUACUGUCCUGCUGGCAGCUAAACCAUUGAAGCUUAAUUGUAAUUAUCCACCAGGUCUGGGCCCGGAGAGGAAUACCGAUUACCAUUACGUGUGUUUCCAUGGGCAAGACUGUGUAUUGAGCCUGUUGCAAAGUUUCAAGCAAAUUUAUUUCUACCGGCAACUGUAAUGGAUCAUUGGUCAUGGACUAUUUCUGGACUCGGUACAAUGGGAGAAAAUAACUCCAACUUAUCUGUGCAGAAUUCCUUAAAAGAUCGCCAAUGUUGCUAAAGUAGAUGAGUAGAUACCCAGACACCCGCUGCUUUUGUGUUGGGGUACCUGUGGUCCAGAUGUCCUGGGUUAUUUUCUCACUGUUUAUCUCUCCACCAAGAAAUCUGUACUCAGCUAGACAGACAUGUGUUUCCCAAACUUUUAAAAUGGGAACAGUGGUUCCCAUGAAAAACAAAGUUUUUA